rnacentral:tRNA from 1 species
GAAAAAAUAAUUAAAAUAUAAUAAUAGUUUGUGGAACUAAUUUUAUUGGUUAAAAUCCAAUUUUUUUCC